UCAAAUUAAUUUAUAUAAGCAGUCUCCCAUUUAUUAUUGCAAAUUGGUGACUACUUAUAUAAAUUAUCGGGGGGGGGGACUUAUAGAAGUUGCCAAAAGAAGGGACACAUGAUCAUAAUUCAUUUUAAAUUCAGGCCCAGUUCACAUAAUAUUGAGCAACACACAAGCAUGCAGUUCCAGGAAUAAGCUUGUGAUUUGUGUGCUCACAAAUGCAUCUGACACCUUGCCUACGUGAGGUCAUGAGAAUUACUACCAGCCCUAACGGUGAUGGCGUGAGGAAUGUUCAUGAAGAAGACAAAACUGUUCACUAGUCCUCAAACUUCUACAUCACUUCAGAAAACAUGAGAAUCAAAAUUGUUACUGAACACCAUUCAGCUCUCUUGGCUUGUAAACUGUUUUCUAUGGAGUUUGAGCGGUUAAUUUGUAUUCUUUCCUAUUUCUGAAGGGUUCUUUAAUAGCUGAAUCCAUGACUGAUUGUGUAGGAUCAGUUUGUGACAUCAAUCAGUGCACGGUUUAUUACUUUAAUUAACGUCUUCAGAAUAAUCUGCUACCUUUUUCUGUCACUAGGAGGCACUCUAGUUUUAAAAUUCACAUUACAUUUACCUUUUUAGUCUCAUAUGCUUGUGUAUAGGAAACAUUUUUAUUCCCUUCAGGGUGGUGAUUUGAAUUCUGAAAUAACUGUGAGUGUAAUUUGUAAUAAUUAGGUUUGGGUCCAAAUAACAGUUGUAACUGAUAGAAGCAAAAAGUAAAACAUCUCCCAGGUU